UACGGAGGGUGCAAGCGUUAUCCGGAUUCACUGGGUUUAAAGGGUGCGUAGGCGGGCAGUUAAGUCCGUGGUGAAAUCUCUGAGCUUAACUCAGAAACUGCCAUGGAUACUAUCUGUCUUGAAUAUUGUGGAGGUAAGCGGAAUAUGUCAUGUAGCGGUGAAAUGCUUAGAUAUGACAUAGAACACCGAUUGCGAAGGCAGCUUGCUGCACAGUUAUUGACGCUGAGGCACGAAAGCGUGGGGAGCAAACAGG
rnacentral:rRNA from 1 species